rnacentral:rRNA from 1 species
UACGUAGGGUGCAAGCGUUGUCCGGAAUUAUUGGGCGUAAAGGGCUCGUAGGCGGUCCAUCGCGUCGGGAGUGAAAAGCUGGGGCUCAACCCCAGUCCUGCUUCCGAUACGGGUGGACUAGAGGUAUGCAGGGGAGAACGGAAUUCCUGGUGUAGCGGUGAAAUGACGCAGAUAUCAGGAGGAACACCGGUGGCGAAGGCGGUUCUCUGGGCAUUACCUGACGCUGAGGAGCGAAAAGCGUGGGGAGCAAACAGG